AGUGGAAUAACUGGGUCAAAUGGUGGUUCCAUUCCAAGUUUUCCAAGGAAUAUCCAUACUGCUUUCUAUAUUGGUUUCACCAAUUUGCAGUCCCACUAUGUAAU
rnacentral:pre_miRNA from 1 species